rnacentral:tRNA from 1 species
GGUGGCAUAGUGGUUAAGAGCUUGGCUGCUAACCAAAAGGCUGGCAGUUCAAAUCCGCCUGCCACUC